CCUACGGGUGGCAGCAGUGAGGAAUAUUGGUCAAUGGACGAGAGUCUGAACCAGCCAAGUAGCGUGAAGGAUGACUGCCCUAUGGGUUGUAAACUUCUUUUAUCUGGGAAUAAAAUGUUCCACGUGUGGGCUUUUGUAUGUACCAUAUGAAUAAGGAUCGGCUAACUCCGUGCCAGCAGCCGCGGUAAUACGGAGGAUACGAGCGUUAUCCGGAUUUAUUGGGUUUAAAGGGAGCGUAGGUGGAUUGUUAAGUCAGUUGUGAAAGUUUGCGGCUCAACCGUAAAAUUGCAGUUGAAACUGGCAGUCUUGAGUACAGGAGAGGUAGGCGGAAUUCGUGGUGUAGCGGUGAAAUGCUUAGAUAUCACGAAGAACUCCGAUUGCGAAGGCAGCUCACUGGACUGCAACUGACACUGAGGCUCGAAAGUGUGGGUAUCAAACAGGAUUAGAUACCCUGGUAGUC
rnacentral:rRNA from 1 species